AGUUCUCCCUGACUCCUUGAGAGUCCUGAAGGAACGUUGAAGACGACGACGUUGAUAGGCCGGAUGUGUAAGCGCAGCGAUGCGUUGAGCUAACCGGUACUAAUGAACCGUGAGGCUUAACCUU
rnacentral:rRNA from 1 species